rnacentral:rRNA from 1 species
GACGAACGCUGGCGGCAUGCCUAACGCAUGCAAGUCGAGCGAGUUGAUCCCUUCGGGGUGAAGCUAGCGGCGGACGGGUGAGUAACACGUGGGCAACCUGCCUCAUAGAGGGGAAUAGCCUUCCGAAAGGAAGAUUAAUACCGCAUAAGAUUGUAGCCUCGCAUGAAGCAGCAAUUAAAGGAGUAAUCCGCUAUGAGAUGGGCCCGCGGCGCAUUAGCUAGUUGGUGAGGUAACGGCUCACCAAGGCGACGAUGCGUAGCCGACCUGAGAGGGUGAUCGGCCACAUUGGGACUGAGGCACGGCCCAGACUCCUACGGGAGGCAGCAGUGGGGAACAUUGCACAAUGGGGGAAACCCUGAUGCAGCAAUGCCGCGUGAGUGAUGACGGCCUUCGGGUUGUAAAGCUCUGUCUUCGGGGACGAUAAUGACGGUACCCGAGGAGGAAGCCACGGCUAACUACGUGCCAGCAGCCGCCGCGG